AACCCUAACCUCCAUUCUCUCUCCCUCUCUCUCUCCCUCUCUCCCCCAUUUCCACUCUCUCUAUACCCUUCCAUUCUCUCAUCUCUUUAAAACCAUCGGAGAUACCGCAGCGCAACGCUCUAGACAUUACCACUGCAGUGGCAUCACUUCGAAGCAAACAUCACUACCACAGAUCUCAUAAGAAGACGAUGAUGGUAGGUCCAUUAUAAGUAGCGACGAGCGUCGCUGCUUUAUGGUGGUCGUGGAUCUCUGUGUCUAACACAAUGGGUGUGAAUCUAUGGUGGUGCGGUGGUUUGCAUUGGCGUGUACAGUAUUGUCUGCGGUGGUUUGUGCAGUGAUGAUGCUAUUGGUGGUGGUGCAGUUGGUGGAUGUGGGUGCAGCGGCGAUGGUUUUGGGAUUUUAGUUUGAUUUAUUCCUUCAAUUUGCUUCAACAAAGCUUUGGAGGGUGCUCAGCAGAAUUUUUUUUUUAAUUUUUUUUUUUUAUUUUUGUGGUGUUUGUGGGGGUGCUCAACCAAUGUUUUUGUUUUAGAUUGUGAGGUGGUGCCGUGGUGGUGGGGAUGUGGCGGUAUGGUGGUGCCGAUUUUAGUUUUUGUUUCUGUUUCUUUUGUGAGUUUCAGAUUGUGAGGUUGUGUUGACGGUAAGGUAGUGCUGGUUCUUUGGGUUGUUUUUAUGUUUCUACUUUGUUGUAAGGCAGUGUUGGCAGUGAGGUGGUGAUGGUCAUGAUGGUAGUAUGGUGAUUGUGAGUGGUGGGAUUUGUUAAUUUGUGACCAAUAAUUUUAUAAUUUAUGAUUUAUAAUAUUUGUGAUUUGUUACAAGUAAAUAAAUUGUGGCUAAAAAAUGUUUGAUUUGUGAUUGAUGAACAAAUUGUAACCUAUAUAAUUUUUGAGUUGUGAUUUAAAAUAAUUUUUGACAUAAAAAUUUUGAUUUGUA
rnacentral:lncRNA from 1 species